rnacentral:rRNA from 1 species
GUUAUAUGGUCAAGUGAAGAAGCGCAUACGGUGGAUGCCUUGGCAGUCAGAGGCGAUGAAAGACGUGGUAGCCUGCGAAAAGCUUCGGGGAGUCGGCAAACAGACUUUGAUCCGGAGAUGUCUGAAUGGGGGAACCCAGCCAUCAUAAGAUGGUUAUCUUGUACUGAAUACAUAGGUGCAAGAGGCGAACCAGGGGAACUGAAACAUCUAAGUACCCUGAGGAAAAGAAAUCAACCGAGAUUCCCUUAGUAGUGGCGAGCGAACGGGGACUAGCCCUUAAGUGGCUUUGAGAUUAGCGGAACGCUCUGGAAAGUGCGGCCAUAGUGGGUGAUAGCCCUGUACGCGAAAAUCUCUUAGUCAUGAAAUCGAGUAGGACGGAGCACGAGAAACUUUGUCUGAAUAUGGGGGGACCAUCCUCCAAGGCUAAAUACUACUGACUGACCGAUAGUGAACUAGUACCGUGAGGGAAAGGCGAAAAGAACCCCGGAGAGGGGAGUGAAAUAGAUCCUGAAACCGUAUGCGUACAAGCAGUGGGAGCAGACUUUGUUCUGUGACUGCGUACCUUUUGUAUAAUGGGUCAGCGACUUAUUUUCAGUGGCGAGCUUAACCGAAUAGGGGAGGCGUAGCGAAAGCGAGUCUUAAUAGGGCGUCUAGUCGCUGGGAAUAGACCCGAAACCGGGCGAUCUAUCCAUGGGCAGGUUGAAGGUUGGGUAACACUAACUGGAGGACCGAACCGACUACCGUUGAAAAGUUAGCGGAUGACCUGUGGAUCGGAGUGAAAGGCUAAUCAAGCUCGGAGAUAGCUGGUUCUCCUCGAAAGCUAUUUAGGUAGCGCCUCAUGUAUCACUGUAGGGGGUAGAGCACUGUUUCGGCUAGGGGGUCAUCCCGACUUACCAAACCGAUGCAAACUCCGAAUACCUACAAGUGCCGAGCAUGGGAGACACACGGCGGGUGCUAACGUCCGUCGUGAAAAGGGAAACAACCCAGACCGUCAGCUAAGGUCCCAAAGUUAUGGUUAAGUGGGAAACGAUGUGGGAAGGCUUAGACAGCUAGGAGGUUGGCUUAGAAGCAGCCACCCUUUAAAGAAAGCGUAAUAGCUCACUAGUCGAGUCGGCCUGCGCGGAAGAUGUAACGGGGCUCAAACCAUACACCGAAGCUACGGGUAUCACGUAAGUGAUGCGGUAGAGGAGCGUUCUGUAAGCCUGUGAAGGUGAGUUGAGAAGCUUGCUGGAGGUAUCAGAAGUGCGAAUGCUGACAUGAGUAACGACAAUGGGUGUGAAAAACACCCACGCCGAAAGACCAAGGUUUCCUGCGCAACGUUAAUCGACGCAGGGUUAGUCGGUCCCUAAGGCGAGGCUGAAAAGCGUAGUCGAUGGAAAACAGGUUAAUAUUCCUGUACUUCUGGUUAUUGCGAUGGAGGGACGGAGAAGGCUAGGCCAGCUUGGCGUUGGUUGUCCAAGUUUAAGGUGGUAGGCUGGAAUCUUAGGUAAAUCCGGGAUUCUAAGGCCGAGAGCUGAUGACGAGUUAUCUUUUAGAUGACGAAGUGGUUGAUGCCAUGCUUCCAAGAAAAGCUUCUAAGCUUCAGGUAACCAGGAACCGUACCCCAAACCGACACAGGUGGUUGGGUAGAGAAUACCAAGGCGCUUGAGAGAACUCGGGUGAAGGAACUAGGCAAAAUGGCACCGUAACUUCGGGAGAAGGUGCGCCGGUGAGGGUGAAGGACUUGCUCCGUAAGCCCAUGCCGGUCGAAGAUACCAGGCCGCUGCGACUGUUUAUUAAAAACACAGCACUCUGCAAACACGAAAGUGGACGUAUAGGGUGUGACGCCUGCCCGGUGCCGGAAGGUUAAUUGAUGGGGUUAGCUAACGCGAAGCUCUUGAUCGAAGCCCCGGUAAACGGCGGCCGUAACUAUAACGGUCCUAAGGUAGCGAAAUUCCUUGUCGGGUAAGUUCCGACCUGCACGAAUGGCGUAACGAUGGCGGCGCUGUCUCCACCCGAGACUCAGUGAAAUUGAAAUCGCUGUGAAGAUGCAGUGUAUCCGCGGCUAGACGGAAAGACCCCGUGAACCUUUACUAUAGCUUUGCACUGGACUUUGAAUUUGCUUGUGUAGGAUAGGUGGGAGGCUUUGAAGCGUGGACGCCAGUCUGCGUGGAGCCAUCCUUGAAAUACCACCCUGGCAACUUUGAGGUUCUAACUCAGGUCCGUUAUCCGGAUCGAGGACAGUGUAUGGUGGGUAGUUUGACUGGGGCGGUCUCCUCCUAAAGAGUAACGGAGGAGUACGAAGGUGCGCUCAGACCGGUCGGAAAUCGGUCGUAGAGUAUAAAGGCAAAAGCGCGCUUGACUGCGAGACAGACACGUCGAGCAGGUACGAAAGUAGGUCUUAGUGAUCCGGUGGUUCUGUAUGGAAGGGCCAUCGCUCAACGGAUAAAAGGUACUCCGGGGAUAACAGGCUGAUACCGCCCAAGAGUUCAUAUCGACGGCGGUGUUUGGCACCUCGAUGUCGGCUCAUCACAUCCUGGGGCUGAAGCCGGUCCCAAGGGUAUGGCUGUUCGCCAUUUAAAGUGGUACGCGAGCUGGGUUUAGAACGUCGUGAGACAGUUCGGUCCCUAUCUGCCGUGGACGUUUGAGAUUUGAGAGGGGCUGCUCCUAGUACGAGAGGACCGGAGUGGACGAACCUCUGGUGUUCCGGUUGUCACGCCAGUGGCAUUGCCGGGUAGCUAUGUUCGGAAUAGAUAACCGCUGAAAGCAUCUAAGCGGGAAACUAGCCUCAAGAUGAGAUCUCACUGGAACCUUGAGUUCCCUGAAGGGCCGUCGAAGACUACGACGUUGAUAGGUUGGGUGUGUAAGCGCUGUGAGGCGUUGAGCUAACCAAUACUAAUUGCCCGUGAGGCUUGACCAUAUAACACCCAAGCAAUU